rnacentral:miRNA from 1 species
AUGUAGGGCGAAAAGCCAUGG